AACUGUUAUUUGCCGUUGCGGGCUCUUUGGCCACAACGAGCAGAAAUAAUAGUGCCUUAUUAGCGUUGCACUUUUCGUCCUCUUCUGCGCCACGUUUUUCAAGGCGGGUAAACAAAAAAGUAAGACAACUGGGCCCACUCUACGCCAUCACUAUUCAUGCUUCUCCUGAAUGCUAUCAGGAUGCACCAACAGUUGAAGGAAGAGGUGCUACAACGCGGACGUUGCUGCACCGUUUCCAGCAGUUCAGAGUCUAAAUUGGAUUCCAUGCCCUUUCAGCAGCAAAAAUCUUAUUUUGGUCUUACGUUGCCCAUUGACCUCAGUUGUGGCGUAAGUUGCGAACGACAGGAACACGUUGGUCUAGCAAAUCUACAUCCACACACGCACACACACACACACAAGCAUCCAGUGGUGGGGCGACCAGAACGGUUGCCAUUUUAAGUAAUCUCUGUGCUAGUUAGGGCAUCGCUUCUGUAGUUAUCGCACCACAGUUACUCAAGGUAGAGGCUCAGGUAGCUCGUGGCGUGCAUGGAUGGACGGCUGCAAACAACGAGUCUCUAUAUCUGGCAGACACCAGGCGUCAUUCAUGCGGAUGCGCGCUCGCAAUUAAUGGGUGUAGUGCACGUCUUGAUGAUUCCUGCUCGCAUCAGACCAGUUGUAAGCCGACUCUGCGUUUCUGAAGAUGUGAGCUUCUACUCGUGGUUGAGUCCCCUGACGACGACCACUCUCCCGGCGGCCUCCUUGUUAGUUUGUGUUUGAAUUCUUGAAAAGAGAAAGAAUUUUCAGGAUAAUGAUACGUAGUUGGGGACUUCAGUUUUGUGACGCGGAGGGCAAAAGCUGAGAUGUUGUCUUCGAAAACGGAACGACCGGAUGUGAAGGAGUUAUAUGAAUUACAUGAAGGAUAGUGGCGACUAGAUGCAUGAGACGCUAUGGCCCGGGCUGACCACAUCACUGGAAUUCUUAACGGUCGAAUGAAGGCGCCCAGUUGGGUGUCCAACUACCCGGGCACAUCGGGUGCAUGUGAGUGGCGUUUUGUCCGCGUAACUGGCUGACUUAUUUCCCAUGCCAUCUGGUGGUGCCAUUAGGGAAUUCCCUGACACCAGCAAAGGAAGGUGACGGCAGCCGGAGGUGAUUGACGAUUGCAAACAAGGAUCGAAAUUAGCAUUGACAGUCUUCUCAAGUUCGGUUGCUUAUCGAAGCAGCGGCAUUCGAAUUGGGCCUGUCCGAACAAGACCCCGCGCCACCGACCUGCGGUUCCGUUCCUGAGAGACAACGAAGUGAUUUCGGUGAAGGCCUCUGCGAUUAUUCGCGGAUCCCGCCUAUUGCAGACCCAGAUGAUAUCGAACUGUUGUUCGGCUGCAUUUUGGAACAUGGAGGUGCACCCGGAGCAGGGAAAAUAACAGCGCUCGUGAGUACCAUUUCUGCUGUAGACAUGCGACCCGUGUUCCCGCAGAUUCUCGAAACACAUAGUGAGACGCUUUACCGAGUUCAAGCGUCGCGCCUGCAACGAUUGAUAUCCCAUUGCAUGCCACUUCUCGUCAGCUGCUUAUCUCGCACAGACUGCUGACUCGACCCAAUACAGCCAGCGAGAUUCAUGCAGAUGCGGAGGUCCAGAGAACUAUAGACGUGCGACUACAUCCUCCCUGUAGUCGCUCGAUGUGCUUUGAAGAGUUACUAGUUAUCUUAAACUCGAAUUUCUAGAUGCAUGCUAGGCCGUCUGUCGUGCACCGUCAAGUGGCUGUGUUGUUGCGACUGUUUUUGUGAUCGGUUUCAUCCUGAGGGUGUGCUGAACAUCAUAGGCUCGGCUCGAAGGAAUCCGUACCCGGGGACUGAAUCGUGUUCGCGCAUGCCCUAUCAUAUGCAGAAAAAUGUGUGGAGGAAUAAUGUUGCGUAGCGUUUAAGCCAGAAUGACUCAGGCACUAAUGAUGAAUUCCUUUUCAAUUUUUGUAUCACAGUGUGACCAAGUCGACGAGGAUGACGUCCGACAGGCGGCUUCGACUGUGGAGUAUAUGCCGGUCGGCGGAUCUUUGUUGUCGCUGUCCGUUGAAUCAGGCAGGCGGGGGGCGCCCACUACACUACUUGUCGUGCUGCUUGGUUCCACUGUCACCGCUAUACUCAUAGUGGGAGUUGUCGCGCGUAUGUACUUUGGGGAGCUCUUUUAAGUUUCCGAAGAGCCUGCCGAUGCGUGAGAUUGCUGAAUCGAGAGCCUAACCUUUGACUUCGGAACGUCUUACAACUCGGAAGUUUUCAUCUUUGUGUGCAGGCUACCAAAGAAAAUCGGCCAGAGACAGUGAGAGUCGAUGCAUGCUGGUG
rnacentral:lncRNA from 1 species